GAUGAACGCUGGCGGCGUGCCUAAUACAUGCAAGUCGAGCGAACGGACGAGAAGUUUGCUUUUCUGAUGUUAGCGGCGGACGGGUGAUUAACACGUGGAUAACCUUUCUAUAAGACUUGGAUAACUUCGGGAAACCGUAGCUAAUACCGGAUAAUAUUUUGAACCGCAUGGUUCAAAAGUGAAGGACGGUCUUGCUGUUACUUAUAGAUGGAUCCGCGCUGCAUUAUCUAGUUGGUAAGGUAACGGCUUACCAAGGCAACGAUGCAUAGCCGACCGGAGAGAGUGAUCGGCCACACUGGAACUGAGACACGGUCCAGACUACUACGGCAGGCAGCAGUAGGGAAUCUUACGCAAUGGGCGAGAGCAUGACGCAGCAGCGCCGAGCGAGUGACGAAGGUGUCCGGAUCGUAAAAAUCUCUUAUUAGGGAAGAACAUCUGUGUACGUAAAUGAGCACAUAUUGACGGUACCUAAUCAGAAAGCCACGGCUAACUACGUG
rnacentral:rRNA from 1 species